UACGAAGGGGGCUAGCGUUGCUCGGAAUCACUGGGCGUAAAGCGCACGUAGGCGGAUCUUUAAGUCAGAGGUGAAAUCCCAAGGCUCAACCUUGGAACUGCCUUUGAUACUGGGGAUCUCGAGUCCGGAAGAGGUGAGUGGAACUGCGAGUGUAGAGGUGAAAUUCGUAGAUAUUCGCAAGAACACCAGUGGCGAAGGCGGCUCACUGGUCCGGUACUCGACGCUGAGGUGCGAAAGCGUGGGGGGCAACAGGGG
rnacentral:rRNA from 1 species